UAAGGGACGAUGAUGAGGUUACCCUCAUCCAAUGAACUUUCUGCCAGAGAUGAUGAACAGAAGCUUAGAGAAGCUACGUAAUCCAUCCAAAGGCACUCAACUAGCAAUUGGCAGAGUGAGAACUUGAUCUCAGGCUGCCUUAUUCCACCAUAUGAACCAACUUAUCAAAAGGGAUGGUAUGUAACAGAAGUCAAAGCAUGAGGGGUGUUGGAAGUUCAGUUCAACCCAGCAACCCCUUGUUGAGCGCUGCUACGUGCAAGUUCCUGCUUGGUGCUGGGAAGAUCUCCUCUCCAAGAUCACUAGGAUCUCAGACUCAACCAGAAGCCUGGACCCAGAGAAGGAUCGUUUGUCUCUUUUCCGUAUGUUCCAAUUUGUAGAAGCUUCAGGAAAUACCGGGGCAGGUGGCAUGUACCUCUGACCUGCCGAUGAAUGGUCAUGGUUCGUAGUUCUCACCUGCAUCUGUGGUGUGGUGGGGGACCAGUGUUUCCCAAAAGAAGAUGGAAAUAGGAGUGGAAGUGAGGCUUCCCAAGAAAGGGAAGAUAAAAGAAUGUAUCUUCAUUACAGGACAUAAAAUGGAUCAUAGGGUAUCAAAAGACAAAUUGUAGUUGAGGCUGGGUC